GAUGAACGCUGACAGAAUGCUUAACACAUGCAAGUCUUUGGCGAAGCUGUGCUUGCACAGCCUAGCCAAGGCGGACGGGUGAGUAACGCGUAAGGAACUUGCCCUGCAGUCAGGGAUAACAGACGGAAACGACUGAUAAGACCUGGUAAAGUCAGGCGGACUCAUGUCCAGCCUGAUGAAAAGAGAUGCUGCAGGAGAGCCUUGCGUCCUAUUAGCUUGUUGGUGGGGUAACGGCCCACCAAGGCGAUGAUAGGUAGCCGGCCUGAGAGGGUGGACGGCCACAAGGGGACUGAGAUACGGCCCUUACUCCUACGGGAGGCAGCAGUGGGGAAUAUUGGACAAUGGGGGCAACCCUGAUCCAGCAAUUCUGUGUGCAAGAUGAAGGUUUUCGGAUUGUAAAGUGCUUUCAGCAGGGAAGAAAAAAAUGACGGUACCUGCAGAAGAAGCGACGGCUAAAUACGUG
rnacentral:rRNA from 1 species